GCGGAUGUAGUUCAAUGGCAGAAUAUCAGCUUCCCAAGCUGGAUACGGGAGUUCGAUCCUCCUCAUCCGCUCCA
rnacentral:tRNA from 1 species